GGGUCUAUGUCGAUGAUAGCAUCAAAAGGUCGUAAAGGGAGAUGAUGACAUAAAAAUCAUGCUCAAUAGUAUUACGCUGAGGCCC
ensembl:snoRNA LOC120100273 small nucleolar RNA SNORD115